ACGUUAAGAUUUCAUUCACCUUGAAGGGGGGUGGGCCCCCCGCAUCAUCACAGUUCCUUGGGGUUCAUUGGGCUAAAUCGUCCUGCUCUUGUGUGUGUGUGUCCUCUGGAUUAGCCACAGCAAUGAAGAUCUUAGUGCGCAGGGUAGAAGGAGCUGCCUGGCUCCUUCCGUCAGGACCUUCUCGCUCCAGCCUCCACAUCUAGCCUUGCCCCUUAUGCUCUAGGAUUCAUUCUGGCUUCUAAUCCUUUAUUGGUAGAAUAUUAAGAGCUCCCCAGGGGUUCUUCUUACCAAGCUAACCUUGAGUCAACCUUUGUCCUUGACCACCUGAGCCCCCCAUCUCUGGGUCCUGCCCAUUCUUUAUCAGCUGGCAUCCUGGCUAUCCUAGGACCUCAGUUCUCCUGUGACCAGGGUCCUGCUCUUAAGCUCCCAUCUCUCAGAGCUCAGAGUCUUGUCCUGUCACCACCUCCCAGCAACUAUGCCUCUGGUCUUACGUCCAAGCUGCCAGAUUCCCUAUUCCCAAGUGCUUCCCAAGUGUUGGUCCCUGAUACUUAGAGCCAACUGCCUGAAGUUGCCUGAAACCAAGUGUCUGAAACCCUGACUUGGGCCAGUUUUCUAUGCUCUCAGCUGGGUCAACACACUGGACCUGGGGCUCAGCCCUCAGCCUUGGCUCAGGUACUUCUGCUCCUCUGAGCCAUUCCCCUCAAACUGCUCUCUGCCUCACAAAUUCUCUUUUAGUGGACCAAGGCCUAGGGUACUUGAGGACAAGUGGUUGGAGGUGGCAUUGGAGACGGAGACAAGGGCUGGGUUUAAAGGGACUUGUGGCCAGUUAGGGCGUUUGAACUUUAUUUUGAACACAAUGUGGACUCACUGCUUUUCCUUUCUGUUGAGAGAAGUUGAAAGAGAGACAGAAGAUGUUUGGAGCUGAUUCAUGUGGACAGUGGACCCCAAAGAGACUACAGCUUCAUUACGGCCUUGUUCUGUUGUUUUCAAGUUGGUUCUCUGGCUUUCCCUUGAGUCUCUGAAUGCGUCCAUGUCCUUCCAACAUAUUCCUGCUUCUCUUCAGUUAUCUAGUCUGAUUCAGCUACCUGUCACUGAAGCACACAACUGACAUGACAAGGCUGUUCCCUGGAUUUAUCCAAGAGGACCACUCCAGGCCAAACGUAUCUCCAAUUGCUCCUUCUCCCCCUGCUCGCCUCCAGCCUCAUGGAUUCACCAAACAAAAACUGUUAGCUGCAAUUUGGCUUGUUCUUGAAGACAGAGACCAAACAGCUUCCUUGAACUCCACACUGGAAUCAUUCAAACAUG